rnacentral:tRNA from 1 species
AUUUAUAUAAUUUAAAAAAAAUAUUAUAAUUUCAAUAUAAAAAUAAUUAAAUUUAAUUUAUAAAUG